rnacentral:misc_RNA from 1 species
GGGUAGCUAGAAAAUUAUAAUUCCAAUUGCAAUAGUAGAAUAGCAUUGUUAAGGACUGCAGAGAAUAAUUAUAGAAUUUUUGGAGUUAAUUUAGAUAGUUUUUGCAAAAUAUUAGUUUUAAACUUAUUAGCUUAAUAGUUUUUGUAGAAUGUUAGUUUUAACUUAUUAGCUGAAUUGUGUAUUUAUGUAGGAAUUGACUGAUUUAGUAGGCCCAGGAAGAGCAUUGUGUAGUUGUUAUAUUGUGGGCAUGAGGCA